UUCCUACGGGGGGCAGCAGUGGGGAAUAUUGCACAAUGGGGGAAACCCUGAUGCAGCAACGCCGCGUGAGCGAAGAAGUAUUUCGGUAUGUAAAGCUCUAUCAGCAGGGAAGAAGAUGACGGUACCUGAUUAAGAAGCCCCGGCUAACUACGUGCCAGCAGCCGCGGUAAUACGUAGGGAGCAAGCGUUGUCCGGAAUUACUGGGCGUAAAGGGCGCGUAGGUGGGCGCUUAAGUCAGGUGUGAAAACUCCGGGCUCAACCUGGAGACUGCACUUGAAACUGGGUGUCUUGAGGGCAGGAGAGGA
rnacentral:rRNA from 1 species